AUUCUCCCACCAACCGGGGGUGCAGUCGCUCUUCGUCCAACUCCAAUGUUAGCUAACAAGCCAGACACUCAGUUGACACCCUCAAACUUCGGCAGCAGCCAAGCUGCAUAGUCGACAUGGCGAUCGAUAAAAUAACACAAGAUUUUUCUAAAGACAGAUAAAAGUCUUCCAAGUGUUUUGGAAUGAGAUUUGUGACGUAAUGCGCAUCCACGAUGUGUGACAUUUGAAGAACAAUUGAGUUCGGAAGAAAAAUCUUGAUUCCAGUGGAAUCUUCCAAUAUUUUUUUACCACUUGCACACACACCCACCCAACCCCUACACACGCUGCCCAGCCAUGCCCGUGCAAGCCCCACAAUGGACAGAGUUCCUGCUGUGUCCCAUUUGCACUCAGACGUUCGAGGAGACGGUGCGGCGGCCCAUUUCGCUGGGCUGUGGCCACACAGUCUGCAAGAUGUGCCUGAACAAGCUGCACCGCAAGGCCUGCCCCUUCGACCAGACGGCCAUCGCCACUGACAUCGAGCAGCUGCCCGUCAACACAGCCCUGCUGCAGCUGGUGGGGGGACAGGUUCCCAAGGUCCAGCCGGUGGCCCUUAUCACCAGCCCAGAAGACGCGCAGCACUAUGAGGAGGCCAGUCAGUGUGUGGAGGAGCUGGCCCUCUACCUCAAACCCCUCAGCAACACCAGAGGUGUGGGCCUGAGCAGCACGACCCUGAGUAUGCUGAGUCGACCCAUGCAGAGGAAGCUGGUGACCCUGGUCCACUGUCAGCUGGUGGAGGAGGAGGGCCGGGUGCGGGCCAUGAGGGCAGCAAGGUCUCUGGGGGAGCGCACGGUAACAGAGCUCAUCCUGCAGCACCAAAACCCCCAGCAAUUGUCGUCCAAUUUGUGGGCCGCCGUCCGGGCCAGGGGCUGCCAGUUCUUGGGUCCAGCCAUGCAGGAGGAGGCUCUGAAGCUGGUGCUGCUGGCUCUGGAGGACGGCUCGGCCCUGUCCAGGAAGGUCCUGGUGCUGUUCGUGGUCCAGCGGCUGGAGCCACGCUUCCCCCAGGCCUCCAAAACCAGCAUAGGCCACGUGGUGCAACUCCUUUACAGGGCCUCCUGCUUUAAGGUGACCAAGCGGGACGAGGACUCGUCGCUGAUGCAGCUGAAGGAGGAGUUCCGGACGUACGAGGCGCUGCGGCGCGAACACGACUCCCAGAUUGUCCAGAUCGCCAUGGAGGGCGGCCUCCGCAUCGCCCCUGACCAGUGGUCCUCCCUGCUCUACGGGGACCAGUCACACAAGUCCCACAUGCAGUCCAUCAUCGACAAGUUGCAGACGCCGGCUUCGUUUGCCCAGAGCGUCCAGGAGUUGACCAUCGCCCUGCAGAGGACGGGCGACCCCGCCAACCUUAACCGCCUCCGACCACACCUGGAGCUCCUGGCCAACAUCGACCCGAGCCCCGACGCCCCUCCUCCCACGUGGGAGCAGCUGGAGAAAGGACUGGUGGCGGUGAAGACUGUAGUCCACGGCCUGGUGGAUUUCAUCCAGAACCACAGCAAAAAGGGAGCCGACCCACAACAGCCCCCCCAGCACAGUAAGUACAAGACUUACAUGUGUCGGGACAUGAAGCAGAAGGGAGGCUGUCCCCGAGGAGCCAGCUGUACCUUCGCCCACUCUCAGGAGGAGCUGGAGAAGUACCGUAAAAUGAACAAGCGUUUGGUAGCUCGCCUCCCCGGCUCCUCUGGCCUGUUGCAGGACGAUGGACUCUCUCUGGACGUGGGGGUGACCCGGAAACCCUCGCCCCUCACCAACGGCUCAGCCGUACCCCCCCAUGCCCCAGCUCAUCGCCCGUGGCAUUGAACUUGUGACCUACGACCUGUUGCGCAAGCCCAAGAUGGACGGCGGGAGCAACAGCUCCCCGGGAUCGCCCCCUGACUCUCUGGACUCGGGGCCCAAACAAGGGUACCCCCAGCCACCCCAUGCAAUGGGCUACUCCAGGGGGCCAGGAGACCACAUGUCCAUGCCCAAGCAGAUGCCCAGUGGCGUGGUGCCCCGGGGGCCUCAGAUGUACCCACAGCAGCAGCAACCUGAGAUGUACUACUCCGACUCUCGCCCCCCCACCCUCCGCCUCGCAGUACGAGCCCUCGCAGUACCCCCAAGGUUACCCCUACCAGCAGCCCACCCAGUACGCCCCCCAGCGCUACAUCCGCAACCCCCCUCCUCCCAGCGAGCCCGCCGGACCCCCCUACCAGGACCCUUACCCCGACUACGGCCCACCCGAUCGCCCUUACCCGGCCCCCCACUCGGGCCCUCCCUUUUCCUACCCUCCACCAUCCCACUAUGACACCCGGGGCCGCCACGGCCCUUACUCCAGCCCCCCUCCUCCCCCCCAGCCCUACCCCUCGCAGAGGGACGACAUGGUCCGGAUGAGCCCCGCGCCCCUGGAAGGGCCCCCUUACCACCAGGAGCAGGCUGCCAGGGAGAGGUACCCCCCAGAGGGAUUCUACCCACCGGGGACCCAGCCCCAACCCUUGAGGUCCUACGUCAGAGAGCCGUACGGGCGCUCCUCCCAGCCCAGCCUAGACUACUUGCACCACCGCCGUAAGGAGCUGAUGGCCCAGCUGGAGGAGAGGAAGGUCAUCGCUCCCUCGCCCACCCUCCCCCACACCUUCCCCAGUGACUACCCCCCAGAGUAUGGGGAGGAGAGCUCCAAAGCCUUUGGGAAGUGCAGGGAGCCUGACUACGCGGGCCAGUACUCUCCCUGGUCCUGUGACACCAUCGGCUCCUACAUCGGCACCAAGGACUCCAAGCCCAAAGAUGUCAUGGCGCCCGGUGCCAUGGAGAUGAUGAAUGUGGAUGGUAAAGGUAGGCGGGGGGAGCCCUCCAUGGAGGCCCAGGUCAGGCGGGGGACAGAGGUCAAGGACGACGACCCCAUCAUCCCUUUCGGCCCCCAGCCCACUGUGUCGCGCUUCGGGGCCAUCUCACGCACCUCCAAGACAGGCUACCAGACGACAGGCCCCAUGCAGGCCUUGGGCUCCGCCCAGGGACCCAACCCCAAGCACAUGGCCAUAGCCGCAGAGUACUCCUAUGGGAACCACGGGGGCUGGGGCGGAGCCUCCUACCCCUCCCACCAAACUGUCUCCUCCUCUCAGGGACACUUCAGUGAAAGGCUGCCUAUGCCAACUCAGGACAGAGAGCAGCUGAAGACUGAGCUCCAACAGGUCAACCAGCAGAUCAACCAACAGUCUCAGAUCCACGGCAUGGAGCUCUCCCAGCCAGGUCAGAACCAGGGCCAGCAGGGGGGGAAGUGGCCUGGUCCAGCAGGGGGUUCCGGCAGCGCUGCCCCAGUGUCCAGCGAACAGCUCAGUAUGGAGCUCCACCAGGUGGAGAGGGAGAUUGGCAAGAGGACCCGCGAGAUGGACAUGGACAGCCAGGUGGCUCAUGAGGUCCUGUACAAGACGAAGACUGCAGAGAAUGGCCAGCAGGACCACAAGGCCCAGCUGGAGGAGAUUGCUCUGGCGCUGGGUGAGGUGUCGAAUGGCUCCAGCGGUCUAGGGCAGGACGGCGGUGUGGGCGGAGCCAUGCUAUCACUGACCACUAAGGCGUCAUCGCUUAGCCUGUGUUCUGAGCCAGGGCCCGGGGGCUCCGAUCUGCAGAAGAACGGUGUGGUCCAUUCCUGCUCCUAGACCAUACACACUGCGACACACACAACAAACACACACUCAGAGCCUUUGUUCUAAAGCAUGCACACACAUACUUGUUUUAUUUAGAAGAUGAGCAGUAUCUGCCGUGAUAUGAAUUUUCUUUCUUUUUGUUCUGUGAAUGAGCAUUUUUUUUAAUUUUUUUUUUAAUGACUUUGAUCACCUGGAAACCAUUUGAUGACAUUUAUUUCUCUUGUGUUUUUUUUUACUGGGAUUAUAAAACAAGACUCUCAAAGUAGAUAUGUCAAAAAAGCAGAUUAUGAUAAUAAUUGUUCAAAGAAGGCUAUCAAUCCUACAUAGAUAUCACAUACCAAGACACGUAGUGGAUCGAAGGGUGGAGUAUUUCUCAAUUCUCCCCCUCUAUUUUUGUGCACAUUACCAGGGUAAGCAACUUGCAGGGACCUUAAUACCCCCAAAGAUGGUUUUAAGGCUGUGAAAUGUAAACGUUCAAUUUUGUAACCAAUUUAGUAUCGAAUCCUAACUCAAGUUAUGGUCGUUUUGGUCUUAUGUACUACAUAGCUAACAAAAGUCUUGGUGUUUUACGACGUAGUUAUGUCAGCUGUCAUAAGUAUCAUGUAAGUGUCUGUUUAUAAUGCAUUAUAGCCUGAUAUUUUAUUUUAUAAGGCAAGUCAGUUAAGAACAAAUUCUUAUUUACAAUGACGGCCUAGGAACAGUGGGUUUAACUGCCUUGUUCAGGGGCAGAAAGACCGCUUUUUUAUUUUUUUGAUUUUAACUCGUCAGCUCGGGAAUUCGAUCUAGCAACCUUUCGGUUACUGGCCCAACGCUCUAACCACUAGGCUACCUGCCGCCCCGGUAUGACACGUUGUUUCUUUCUGAUACCUUUGACAGCUAACUAACGGUUAGUCAGUGUAGUAACCAUUCUGUUGGCGUUCAGUAAUAAAGGCUAGUGUUCAGGAAUACGCCACCCCCUGAAUCGUAAAACGUGGUUGACCAGAUGGGGGGGGAGUGAAAACGUUCCACCAACGCUCAGUCAACCCUCAGAGCCAAACAAGACCAUGUCGCUUCAAGCCGCAUGCCGUUUUUAACCCGCCAUGAGAAGUCUGAUUUUUAUUAGUGCAUUUUAUGAAUACAUCAUAUGUCUGUUUCAUACUUGAAAAGCAGUAUCUUAUUAACCAAAGCAUUCUGUUUUAAAGAUUGCAAAAUGUAUCUUUUUGAUAAUGAGCUUUUCUCAUGUUUUCUAUAAGGGAACAUACUAUGUGCUUCUCAUGGGAUGUGGUGUGACUUGCUGCAGAAAUGUCUUGUUUGUACUUUGAUGGGCUGGAAUUCAAUAGAACUUGCAGUGUGGAUAUGCAAAUUCCAGGGAGUGUAACACAACAUUAAUUUUCACACUGCAGGAAGAACAUUUUCCAUGUUGCGAGAGAGAUUGAAUCCCCUCCCAGUGUGAAUUUAAUCAUAUGGGGUGAUUGGUAUUUUUGUUCCUCAUCUUCCUCAGAGCUCCUUAUCUGGUCAUUGAAAAGGCCUCCCCAUUGGGAUUAUCUUGUCAUUGGUUCUCCUUAACUUCUAUGAAGUUGCGUUCCCUUGUUUGUUUUUUUGCUAGGGUAAAUCGCGAUUAAGGGGGUGUGGCCUGCCUGAACGCUAGUCCGUAAUUGGAGGGGAAGUAAAAUGGUUUAAUAUGCAAAUUUUUGGUCCUCUUGUUCUUAAUGCGUGUGUAAAAGGUGUCUGUAGUCUGCCAAACAGUCCUUUCAAUGGUUUGUGCAUCAAUGUCAACAGUUAAAGAGUAGCGAAGUGUCUUAAAUAAUUGUCAUUCUACAGGCUUAAAAAAAAGUCCUUCUAUCCCUUUUUUGUUUUUAACCGUGUACUAUUAGUUCAUUUUAGAACAAGUCUGUAUCAAGACACAUAUUCAGGUUAUCUUAGUGGAUUCAAAACCCAGAACCUUGGGCCACACAUGUGAGGCUUAAAGCAAGCAGCCAGUGUGUCUUGCCCCUCAAAAAGCCUCUACUCAAAGUCUUGACCUUUUUAAUGAUAUUUUUCACUAUAUCGUUUUCUGGUGUUAUUAUUAUUGUAAGCUAUAAAAACAAAAGAGUUGCACACUCCAUAUGUAUAACCUCACAGUAAGUUAUUGGGUAAAAAAAAACACAUUUUUCGGCAUUACUGUGCCUUUUGAAACGUUAGUGUUUUUUUUCGUUUUUUACUGAAUAAAUUACUGGGAGGUAAAACGUAUGGAGUGUGCGACUCUCUUUGUUUUUGUAGCUUACAGUUUAUUCACCGUUAGUCAAAACCUCUACACUAAAUAAUGUUCUCUGGGUGUGCGCCAGCUCAUGCUUUUUAUUAUUAGCAUUAUUACUUUAUUAUUGAUGUUCCUGUCAUGGUAAAUGUUUAUCGCUGAUGCUCGUUAAGGAGCUCUCUGCCUUUUGUAAACAAUCGUCAUGAUUGGCCAUUGAAAAAAAAACUGAGUUGAAAUGCAAAGAGGUGGAUCCCAGUGCUCAAACGGUUACGAAUCCACGGAAUGUAGGUGACGAUCGGUUUUCAUAAUUUGGGUUCAGGAAAAAAACGGGUCAGGUUUUUGUCAGUGUAGAUGGGUGUUGAGGACCAGGGUCAGUUAUAGGGUGUUUUUUUUUUUUCGUUUUUUUUUUUUCAACCACACUUCAUGCCUCUUGGGCUACUCUUUGCUAUAUUUUAUUGUUUAGGUAAACAACUCACUUAUACAUAUGAGUAUGUAUACAUACAUUAAUAUACUAAGCACUGUUAAUGUGCCACCUCUUAUUCUACUCGCUCAGCAUUUAUAUUAAAUGAUCUCUACUUAGAAUCAGCUAAAUGUUUUAUUUUAUUUCUCCACUGGUUGCCAACAGACUUUAUCCUUUCCCAGUUGAAGGACUUCUGUGCACAUUGACGUGUGUUCACUUAAUCUUUUUGUGUUCAAACAAAGAUAAGUUCUCUACUGAAAUAUGCUUCCGAAAGAAGACACCUUUAAUGAUGAAAAUUUACAACAACAAAAAAGUUUUUGUGUGUGUUAGGUUGUAGAAAAUGUACAGUCUUUUUUUUCAAAGUAAAGUGUGCUGUACUGGGUGACGGUUUGGAAAUGUUAGAAAUGUGUUGGGGUUUUCUCUUUUUAAGAGGUAAUCCGGGUAAGCCUUUAAUUUAGUCAAAGGCUUGCUUCAUAUUCUCAAGGAAAACUCCUAGGCCAUUCAUUCCAACAGUAUGAGAUCAUUUGGAAGCACCCUAACCAAAUUGAAAGCAAUCUUAAUUGGCACACUAAUUUUGUCACAACCAGCACUAAUCACAUGACAGGCAGAGACGCAUGUUUUGUCAUAUUUAGAACAAAAAAUGUGUUUCUGCUGGGGAAAAUGUAAUUGACUAGUUGGGUUUGUUUUUCUUUCUUCCUGUCGUUGAGUGAAAUCACUUACUUCCAAGUCUUACAGUGAUCUAUAUAACGCAUCCCAAGGCGAAGCAUCAUGUCCAUCCACAGGGGAACUGUCAAACUUAUCCACACACAGGUUGUCAUUUGUUUCAGAAUAGUCAUGAAAAUGUGCUUACUCUUAAGUCCCUCCAGCCGUGAGCCUUCAAGAGAGAGUUCACUUCAAAUUUGUCUAAUGAUUUUAGAUAUCAAAAGUGGUCUGUUGACUUGAGGCCACAUUCCAUGCCAUCUGUUGUGAAGAUCCAGCUAUAAGCCUCAAUCCCCAAAUCAAUGGCAAAGAUGGACCUGAACCUAAUUCAGUGCCUAUCAUUUCCACUCAUUUUGGGUUUAAGGCAUAUAGUUUAUAUACAUCUCAAGUGGUUUAACGUUUAUUCAAGGUCACGUCCCAAACUGUGUGUAAUGUUUUUGGGACGUGACCUUGAAUAAACGUUAAACCACUUGAGGUCUAAAACGUGCAACAAACUUUGAUUUUGGAGUAAACUGUCCCUUAAAGCCUAUAGGUGAGUAGAAUUAACAAUGAUAUGGUUUCUAUGGGAAUAGCAAUGAUGUUCAUGUCAGUCUCAUGCUUUCAUUUGUUUCUGAGUGAAACUGCUGCCUACCCCUCCUUCACACAGCCAAUGAACUCUUCCCCCAAACCACAGAACUCUUACUGCUGUUUUGGGCUCAUUUUAAUUCUUAACUUUUGGGAAAAACUCAAUGGCUGUUUUUAUAUGAUUAAUCCCUUGUAAAAUAUCUCUUAAAUUAAGGUACAGUUUUAAUUUCAGCAAGAAAAUCCGUUUUUAUAUGUAUUAUACUCCAUUAAGGAAUGUUUAGAAUUAUCUUCCUCCAAUGUGGAUGUAGCCAUUAUUACACCAUUUUAUGACUUUGUAAGAGAAUUCACUGUGUGAAAAUUGGUUUGCAUUUUUGUAUAAUACAAUCUGCUUUUUUUGUUUGAUACGAGAGGGAGGUCAAACUGGAAGUUUUUAAGAGAGAAAUGAACCUGUGAAAUUGAGAGAAUCUUUUUUAAUUUAUGUACAACAGUGAUUCUAUGCUGAGGGGGAUGGAUUAAAUGAUAUUGCUAACUCUG